AUUGAACGCUGGCGGAAGGCCUAACACAUGCAACUCGAGCGAGCGGCGGACGGGUGAGUAAUGUAUGGGGACUGCCCGAUAGAGGGGGAUAACUACUGGCAACGGUAGCUAAUACCGCAUACUAUCGGAUAACCCAUAUGGGAUUAGCUAGUAGGUGCGGUAAUGGCUCACCUAGGCGACGAUCCCUAGCUGGUCUGAGAGGAUGAGCAGCCACACAGCGAUGGGGACACAGCCCAGACGGCGACGGAGGCAGCAGUGGGGAAGAUUGCACAAUGGGCGAAAGCCUGAUGCAGCCAUGCCGCGUGUAUGAAGAAGGCCCUAGGGUUGUAAAGUACUGUCAGUCGGGAGGCGUUACCGACAGAAGAAGCACCGGCUAACUCCGUGCCAGCAGCCGCGGUAAUUC
rnacentral:rRNA from 1 species